UAUUUAAUGGCCGCGGUAUUUUGACCGUGCGAAGGUAGCAUAAUCAUUAGCCUAUUUAUUGUGGGAUAGUAUGAAUGGUUUGACGAAAUAUUAACUGUCUCAUAUUAAUUAUUUAAAAUUUAAUUUUUGAGUUAAAAAGCUUAAUUUUUUUUAUAGGACGAGAAGACCCUAUAGAUCUUUAUUAUUUAUAUUUUUAUAUUUUUUAGUUUAUUUUUAUUAUUCUUUUAUUUAUUAUUUUGUUGGGGCGAUGUUAGGAUAUAUUUAACUCCUUUUUUUUUUAUCAUUUAUUUUUGUUUUUUUGAUCUUUUAUUAUUGCUUAUAANAACAAGAUACCUUAGGGAUAACAGCGUAAUUCUCUUUAAGAGUUCAUAUUGACAAUGGAGUUUGCGACCUCGAUGUUGAAUUAGGAUUAUUUUUAGGUGAAGUAGCUUAAUUAUUAAGUCUGUUCGACUUUUAAUAUCUUACAUGAUCUGAGUUCAAA
rnacentral:rRNA from 2 species